AGAGUUUGAUCAUGGCUUCAGAAGCGAACGCUGGCGGCAGGCUUAACACAUGCAAGUCGAGCGCUCGUUGCAAUACGAGAGCGGCAGACGGGAGAGUAACACGUGGGAACGUACCCUUCGGUUCGGAACAACCCAGGGAAACUUGGGCUAAUACCGGAUACGUCCGUAAGGAGAAAGAUUUAUCGCCGAAGGAUCGGCCCGCGUCUGAUUAGCUAGUUGGUGAGGUAACGGCUCACCAAGGCGACGAUCAGUAGCUGGUCUGAGAGGAUGAUCAGCCUCACUGGGACUGAGACACGGCCCAGACUCCUACGGGAGGCAGCAGUGGGGAAUAUUGGACAAUGGGCGCAAGCCUGAUCCAGCCAUGCCGCGUGGGUGAUGAAGGCCCUAGGGUUGUAAAGCCCUUUCGGCGGGGAAGAUAAUGACGUUACCCGCAGAAGAAGCCCCGGCUAACUUCGUGCCAGCAGCCGCGGUAAUACGAAGGGGGCUAGCGUUGCUCGGAAUCACUGGGCGUAAAGCGCACGUAGGCGGAUUGUUAAGUCAGGGGUGAAAUCCUGGAGCUCAACUCCAGAACUGCCUUUGAUACUGGCGAUCUUGAGUCCGGGAGAGGUGAGUGGAACUGCGAGUGUAGAGGUGAAAUUCGUAGAUAUUCGCAAGAACACCAGUGGCGAAGGCGGCUCACUGGCCCGGUACUGACGCUGAGGUGCGAAAGCGUGGGGAGCAAUCAGAUUAGAUACCCUGGUAGUCCACGCCGUAAACGAUGGAUGCUAGCCGUUGGCGGGUUUACCCGUCAGUGGCGCAGCUAACGCAUUAAGCAUCCC
rnacentral:rRNA from 1 species